AACGAACGCUGGCGGCAGGCCUAACACAUGCAAGUCGAGCGCGCCCUUCGGGGUGAGCGGCGGACGGGUGAGUAACGCGUGGGAACGUGCCCUUUUCUACGGAAUAGCCUCGGGAAACUGAGAGUAAUACCGUAUACGCCCUUUGGGGGAAAGAUUUAUCGGAAAAGGAUCGGCCCGCGUUGGAUUAGGUAGUUGGUGGGGUAAUGGCCUACCAAGCCGACGAUCCAUAGCUGGUUUGAGAGGAUGAUCAGCCACACUGGGACUGAGACACGGCCCAGACUCCUACGGGAGGCAGCAGUGGGGAAUCUUAGACAAUGGGGGCAACCCUGAUCUAACCAUGCCGCGUGAGUGAUGAAGGCCUUAGGGUUGUAAAGCUCUUUCAGCUGGGAAGAUAAUGACGGUACCAGCAGAAGAAGCCCCGGCUAACUCCGUG
rnacentral:rRNA from 1 species